UACAGAGGUCUCAAGCGUUGUUCGGAUUCAUUGGGCGUAAAGGGUGCGUAGGCGGGUCUUUAAGGCAGGGGUGAAAUCCUGGAGCUCAACUCCAGAACUGCCUUUGAUACUGAGGAUCUUGAGUACGGGAGAGGUGAGUGGAACUGCGAGUGUAGAGGUGAAAUUCGUAGAUAUUCGCAAGAACACCAGUGGCGAAGGCGGCUCACUGGCCCGUAACUGACGCUGAGGCACGAAAGCGUGGGGAGCAAACAGG
rnacentral:rRNA from 1 species